UCAUGCUCCAUACUGCACGAGCAAUAGUAGCAUAUGCAGUUUACAACUGUCCCUCACCACCACAGUUGCAGUCUUUACGGCAUAAAUGUGCGCAGAGGGAGGGGCGGUUCAAUGCGCCCCCGACGGCUCAUCGCGCGGCAGGCGCGGCCCAGGCAAGCCGGCCUGCUCGUAGCAGAAUGUGGAGCAGUAGGCCGGCAGCGGAGGGCCGGUGGUAAUAAAUGGGACAGCAGCGCACGGAGCCAGCACAGCUUGGAAGCAGAGUGAUGAGACGGAUGCAUCUUGGCGGAGGCCGGUGGAGACCACGGCAGCGGUGACUCGCGGUGGCGGAACACCGGCUCACCGGAGACUGGAGGAGACAGGGCCGCGGCCUACAAGGCGGCUCGGCGAGACCGGGUGAGGCAGAGACGCCGGCGGAGAUUACGGCAGUGGUGACUCGCGGUGGCAGAGCGGCGGCUCACCGGAGACCGCGGUGGCGGCUCGCUAGCUACGCCCAGGUUGCACGGAUGCAGCCGGCAGCGGCCAGUCGUCCGGGUGCGCGGGCGGCUCAAAUUGCUGAAGACGGGCGGCUCCGGCCGGCCGUAGUACGUCCGCUUCAGGUUGCAGCCGCUACUUUGACUGCUGGAAGACACACAUCGCUGGUGUUUUGCGAUGGAGAAUCAACGGCGGGUUAGGUGUACUGCCGCCACCGCCUGGAAAUUAUCUUGAUUGGAUCCCAUCUGCCAUGGCUAUCCCAACUGCCAGUCAUAUUGCCAAACGCGGUCGACAACUUCUGAUUUUCUUUUUAAAUCAAAUCAUUGCAUCUGAUUUUCCUUUCUGUAUUAUCCUGCAGUUUGAGAACGCCUCGCCGGGCAAUCCUUUUUGGCAAAAAGUAACAACAGUACUUAUCAAUUGAUGCCCUCGGAACUUGAGACGUAUACGGACAGCAGCGAAAACACGGCGGAUCGGACAUAUGCUUGACGCAUAGCAAUCAGACCCAAACACUGAAUCUACAGCAGAAACCGCAGACAGUUUCGGUAGAUUAAUAAAUGCUCCGGGUUAUCUAGUAGCAAUGAUCGGACCCAUGAACAGCAGCACACAUGUUCUCCUCGGGAGUACACGACAACUUGAUGUAAACGGAUUCACUUGAUCCUCCUUACGGGUGUAAUAAUUGUCACGUGCAUGGAAGGUACUGGAUUUGCAGCAUAA